AGCAGCGUGGUGCCUGGGGCAACGACGUAACCAGAUGAAGUCUCUGCAGUGCCAAAUCGGGUGGGGCGUCGGGGCCCUUUUUCUCCAGUCUUGCGGUCGCCGGGUCCUUGUGCUAGGAUGGCCGAGUGCAGGGCGUGUUGGGGAAAUCAUGGGAGAAGGAGAAAGUCGUUGGGGUCGUGCAAGCGUUGAUGGUGGCGUGGUGUUCCUGGAGAGUGACCAUGAUGCCUCAUCAGAUUGCGUCGCAUGUCUUCUGCGUCUAGUCGAGCAAAAAGGGAAUGGCUGGUGAGCAUGCAGUUCUUCGCCAAAGCAGACGCAUCAACACUGAACCGCUGCUCGUCGCGAGCAGCGCUGUUGGCGCCCAUGCUUUUGGUAAGACACCCAUCUCGAGUACAUGUUGGCUCUCGCACUCUUUUACGUUCACCUACGAUAGGAGAUAUGGACCCAACGACCGAGCAUGUGCUCCGGCAAUGGCGGCCACCGCGGUGGUCUCUCAUGCCACCGUAUUUGAUGUCUAUAGGAGGAAGAUGUGGCCUGGACCGUUGAUUGGUGUUUGGGUGACUAGGAUUAGUUGGGAUACCGCUUCGGCCGGGCGCGAUCUGGGACGUUAAUCUCCCAUCGGGCGGUCGACAGACAUCACACGACUCAUUAAAUGAGUGCCGCUGGAUCGAGAUCCGAUGCUUCUGGUUGCCUACUGAUUAACAUCUAAUCUUGGCACUUGAUGCGUGAUCCAACGACCCAGAUUUGGUCAUACCCCUUAGGCUGGAGAUCUUGCAAAAGAAACCCUGUAGAACUCGAAUACUAACCCGCCGUCCUGGGCGGUGUUCUCUGUGUCUGGGGAAUCUUUCAAGCUAGCCCCUAGCCUUUUAUUUAUUCAUGCGCCCAGUCCAGAAGCUUAAGAAAUUCAGAAAAAAACAAUUUAGGAAAUGGUUUUUGUGUAUAAAAAUACAUCCAGAACCUAUUUAAUUCAUAGAAAUUCCAUUUUUACUCCUUUUUAACCCAUUCCAGUUGCAAUAACCUUGUAUUAAUAUUGUCUAUCAACUGGUAGCACUUUUUAGCCAUGAAACUUGAAUUAAAAUUGUUCAUUAGGAUUAAUCUAUUCUAAGCACUAAAUAAUUUCGGAAAUUCAUAACUUAAUAAUCGUAGCUCCGAAUUUAGUGGUUCUUAUUUAUAGGAUCUCGUUAUGCAGCGUAGAAUAUUAUUAUAUAGUUUAUUCCUAUGUUUGGUGUAAUGUUAAUUUUGCCUAUACCAUGUUUGUCUGUAUUGCUACGUUUAGCAGUGAGGACACAUGUCAUCUGAAGAGCAAGUUGGUACCUAGAAUCUCAAGUGCUAGGCAAGUUGUGCCCUUGAUCACUUCUUUUUACCCAGUCAUGUUCUGAUUAAUCAUAAUGAUCUGCAUAGGUUAAUUUUGAUGGGACCCAACAGGUUACCCUAGUUUGAUUAUCUUUAUACCUUGACUCCACUAAACUUUUUGGGUAGUACCUGCUAUUGCUUUAUGUGGUUUUGGGUAUGAAGAUUACACUAUUCAUGAUUAUACUUUUGUUAUCAGUUGUUAUUUAUUGUUCAUGUUAAGAUCAUUAUGUUAAUUGGAACAUGGAGAACCACCCGGGAAAACAGUGCUACCACAAGGGUUUAUGGACGCCCUUGGCUGAUUAAUUAGGAAAGCUAGUGGAUGACUACCUUACCCGAAAGGGGCAAGGGCAGCAGGGGAGUGGUCAGUGUAGGGAGGCCCUUGGGAUGAUUUUGCUGCGAUGGCGGUCAUGCGAGGGAUUCCUGCAUUGGAGCUUCCUAUAAACUGUAGCGGGUUUUCUGAAGCUAGUGGAACUUUGUAAAGGCCUCGUAGUGUUACCCGGCCUCGCCUCCUCGGUAGAGGUGUAUGGGAUUGGCCGUCUCUUGGCAGAUGGGUAACAUGACUUGUGGGUAAAGAUGCGCAACCUCUGCAGAGUGUAAAACUGGUAUACGAGCCGUGCUCACGGUCAUGAGUAGCUCGGACACUCACAUGAUUAAAUUAUGGAACUUAAAUUCAAUUUGUCAUAUGCAUUGCAUCGCAGGUGAUGUUGUUACUUUUGUUCUACUACUUAAUUGGGUUGGUAUUUACUUAUACUUAGUAAUUGCUAAUAAAAUUUUGACCAACUUUAAAAGCAAUGCUCAGCUCUAACCAUCCUCUUUGGUAAGCCUUGCACUUCACGUGAGCUCCCACCUUUGGCGAGUUCAUGCACAUUAUUCCCCACAACUUGUUGAGCGAUGAACGUAUGUGAGCUCACUCUUGCUAUCUCACACCCCCCACAGGUCAAGAACAUGUACCACAGGAUGAGGCACUUGGAGGAUGCUGCGAUGUGUUCGUGAGAGGUCUAGGUCGUCAUCUCCCAGUCAACUUUGGGUUGCUGGACCGUUGUCUCCUUAUAAUGUAAUUAUUUAUUUAUUUUGUAUAGAACUCCUGUUAUGUAGUAAAGAUGUGACAUUCGAUCCUGU
rnacentral:lncRNA from 1 species